GAUGAAGAACGCAGCGAAAUGCGAUACUUGGUGUGAAUUGCAGAAUCCCGCGAAUCAUCGAGUCUUUGAACGCACAUUGCGCCCCCUGGUAUUCCGGGGGGCAUGCCUGUCCGAGCGUCAUUGCCGCCCUCAAGCACGGCUUGUGUGUUGGGCCCCCGCCCCCCGGCUUCGGGGGGCGGGCCCGAAAGGCAGCGGCGGCACCGCGUCCGGUCCUCGAGCGUAUGGGGCUUCGUCACCCGCUCUGUAGGCCCGGCCGGCGCCCGCCGGCGACCCCAAUCAAUCUUUCCAGGUUGACCUCGGAUCAGGUAGGGAUACCCGCUGAACUUAAGCAUAUCAAUAAGCGGAGGA
rnacentral:misc_RNA from 1 species